ensembl:snoRNA LOC120095468 small nucleolar RNA U13
AUCCUUUCGGUUCAUAAAGCAUGAUGAUUGGGUGUUCAUGCCGUUGCGGGACAUGUGCAGCCCACUAAACCUUGUUAUGACGGGCACAUUACCCGUCUGAUG